CGUUAAGAAGCUAUGAAUCAGCACUAGCCUUUUAAGCUAGAGAAAGAGGGGCGUACCCCUCCUUAAUGA
rnacentral:tRNA from 1 species